AGAGUUGCCAGUAACGGACAUGGCUGCGGCCCCCGGAGGAGGGGACGUGAAGUGAGGAGGGGGUUGGGAGGGGAGAGGACGCGGGCGACGAAGACCGGCCCCGGGGCCCCGAUGUUGUGACUGUGACAGACUCACUGGGGUUUGUACAUGCUGGGGAGGAGCCUUCCUUUCAGGGGUGACCACAUUCAUCUGGGCAUGCCUGCAGUACUCUUGGCCCAUGGACCUGAAGGAGAAGCACCUGGGCGAGCCUCCCUCAGCCCUGGGCCUGUCCACGCGGAAGGCCCUCAGCGUCCUGAAGGAGCAGCUGGAGGCAGUGCUAGAAGGACAUCUCAGAGAGCGGAAGAAGUGUCUGACCUGGAAGGAGGUGUGGAGAAGCAGCUUCCUCCACCACAGUAACCGCUGCUCCUGCUUCCACUGGCCGGGGGCCUCACUCAUGCUACUGGCCGUGCUGCUGCUGCUGGGCUGCUGCGGGGGACAGCCGGCCGGGAGCCGUGGGGUGGGGCUGGUGAAUGCCUCGGCUUUGUUCCUGUUACUACUUCUCAACCUUGUGCUCAUCGGGCGGCAAGACCGGCUGAAGCGUCGGGAGGUAGAGCGGAGGCUGCGAGGGAUCAUUGACCAAAUCCAAGAUGCCCUCAGGGAUGGCAGGGAGAUCCAGUGGCCCAAUGCCAUGUAUCCAGACCUCCACAUGCCUUUUGCGCCAUCCUGGUCCCUGCACUGGGCCUACAGAGACGGACACCUAGUCAACCUGCCAGUCAGCCUGCUGGUGGAAGGAGACAUCAUAGCUUUGAGGCCUGGCCAGGAAUCGUUUGCUUCUCUGAGGGGGAUCAAGGAUGACGAGCACAUCGUCCUGGAGCCGGGAGACCUCUUCCCCCCCUUCUCCCCUCCACCCUCACCCCGGGGAGAAGUGGAGAGAGGGCCACAGAGCCCCCAGCAGCACCGGCUUUUCCGUGUCCUUGAGACCCCUGUGAUUGACAACGUCAGAUGGUGCCUGGACAUGGCCCUGUCCCGACCAGUCACUGCCCUGGACAAUGAGCGGUUCACAGUGCAGUCGGUGAUGCUACACUAUGCUGUGCCCGUGGUCCUGGCCGGCUUCCUCAUCACCAAUGCCCUGCGCUUCAUCUUCAGUGCCCCGGGGGUCACUUCCUGGCAGUACACCCUCCUCCAGCUCCAGGUGAAUGGCGUCCUGCCCAUCCUGCCCCUGCUCUUUCCAGUCCUCUGGGUUCUGGCAACUGCCUGUGGAGAGGCCCGUGUCCUGGCCCAGAUGAGCAAGGCCUCGCCCAGCUCCCUGCUGGCUAAGUUCUCAGAGGACACUCUCAGCAGCUAUACAGAGGCUGUCUCCUCUCAGGAAAUGCUGCGCUGCAUUUGGGGCCACUUCCUGAGGGUGCUCGGGGGGACGUCGCCAACGCUGAGCCACAGUUCCAGCCUGCUGCACAGCCUGGGCUCUGUCACGGUCCUGUGCUGUGUGGACAAACAGGGGAUCCUGUCAUGGCCAAAUCCCAGCCCAGAGACUGUACUGUUCUUCAGCGGGAAGGUGGAGCCCCCUCACAGCAGCCAUGAGGACCUCACCGAUGGCCUAUCCACCCGCUCCUUCUGCCAUCCUGAGCCCCAUGAACGAGACGCCCUCCUGGCUGGCUCCCUGAACAACACCACCCUGCACCUUUCCAAUGAGCAGGAGCGUGGCGACUGGCCUGGCGAGGCUCCCAAGCCCCCUGAGCCCUAUUCACACCACAAAGCACACGGCCGCAGCAAACACCCAUCUGGCUCCAACGUGAGCUUCAGCAGGGACACCGAGGGUGGCGAAGAAGAGCCCAACAAGACCCAGCCUGGGAUGGAGAGCGACCCCUAUGAAGCAGAGGACUUUGUGUGUGACUACCACCUGGAGAUGCUGAGCCUGUCCCAGGACCAGCAGAACCCCUCCUGCAUCCAGUUUGAUGACUCCAACUGGCAGCUGCACCUCACCUCCCUCAAACCCCUGGGCCUCAAUGUGCUGCUGAACCUGUGUAAUGCCAGCGUCACCGAGCGCCUGUGCCGAUUCUCCGACCACCUGUGCAACAUCGCCCUGCAAGAGAGCCACAGCGCCGUGCUGCCCGUGCAUGUGCCCUGGGGCCUCUGCGAGCUUGCCCGCCUCAUUGGCUUCACUCCUGGGGCCAAGGAGCUUUUCAAGCAGGAGAACCACCUGGCGCUGUACCGCCUCCCCAGUGCCGAGACAAUGAAGGAGACGUCGCUGGGGCGGCUCUCCUGUGUCACCAAGCGGCGGCCUCCCCUCAGCCACAUGAUCAGCCUCUUCAUUAAAGACACCACCACCAGUGAGCCUUGGCUACCUUGGCCAGCACCAGGCGAGACCUUCCAGAGCUUGGCAGGGGGGCUCUGCCCAGCCCCACCCAUUGCUAGGGAGUCCUGGGCAGAUGAAAAGUCAACUGCUUCCAAGUGCUCCACUCUGGCAGGGGCUGGAAUUGGGGACCAGGGCUGGGAUGGUGUUGACUGCAGAGGCCAGGAUUGUCCAAAGGAUGGGAAUAUGGUGUCUGCAUUCCAAGCCCAGUGGCAUUGCAGAGCCUUGCUGACCGUGAGUCCCAGGAAGUUUCCUCCUCUGGCAGGGGCUCCUCAGUGCCCUUCUCCAGGAGAACAGUGUGUUGCCUGUCAGGUCAGAGUGAGGGUGGGGGGCUGGUUAGCGACACUCAGGGUUUGAACUCUCUCCCCCCAGGCACAGAGCAGAUGCUGUCCCAUGGCACCGCUGAUGUGGUCUUAGAGGCCUGCACAGACUUCUGGGACGGAGCUGACAUCUACCCUCUCUCGGGAUCUGACAGAAAGAAAGUGCUGGACUUCUACCAGCGAGCCUGCCUGUCUGGGUAUUGCUCUGCCUUCGCCUACAAGCCCAUGAACUGCGCCCUGUCCUCUCAGCUCAACGGCAAGUGCAUCGAGCUGGUACAGGUGCCCGGCCAAAGCAGCAUCUUCACCAUGUGCGAGCUGCCCAGCACCAUCCCCAUCAAGCAGAACGCCCGCCGCAGCAGCUGGAGCUCUGAUGAAGGGAUCGGGGAGGUGCUGGAGAAGGAAGACUGCAUGCAGGCCCUGAGCGGCCAGAUCUUCAUGGGCAUGGUGUCCUCCCAGUACCAGGCCCGGCUGGACAUCGUGCGCCUCAUCGAUGGGCUUGUCAACGCCUGCAUCCGCUUUGUCUACUUCUCUUUGGAGGAUGAGCUCAAAAGCAAGGUGUUUGCAGAAAAAAUGGGCCUGGAGACAGGCUGGAACUGCCACAUCUCCCUCACACCCAACGGUGACAUGCCUGGCUCCGAGAUCCCCCCCUCCAGCCCCAGCCACGCAGGCUCCCUGCAUGAUGACCUGAAUCAGGUGUCCCGAGAUGAUGCAGAAGGGCUCCUCCUCAUGGAGGAGGAGGGCCACUCGGACCUCAUCAGCUUCCAGCCUACGGACAGCGACAUCCCCAGCUUCCUGGAGGACUCCAACCGGGCCAAGCUGCCCCGGGGUAUCCACCAAGUGCGGCCCCACCUGCAGAACAUUGACAACGUGCCCCUGCUAGUGCCCCUUUUCACCGACUGCACCCCAGAGACCAUGUGUGAGAUGAUAAAGAUCAUGCAAGAGUACGGGGAGGUGACCUGCUGCCUGGGCAGCUCUGCCAACCUGCGGAACAGCUGCCUCUUCCUCCAGAGCGACAUCAGCAUUGCCCUGGAUCCCCUGUACCCGUCCCGUUGCUCCUGGGAGACCUUUGGCUACGCCACCAGCACCAGCAUGGCCCAGGCCUCGGAUGGCCCUUCUCCCCUGCAGCUGUCAGGGCAGCUCAACAGCCUGCCCUGCUCCCUGACCUUUCGCCAGGAGGAGACCAUCAGCAUCAUCCGGCUUAUCGAACAGGCUCGGCACGCCACCUAUGGCAUCCGUAAAUGCUUCCUCUUCCUGCUGCAGUGCCAGCUGACUCUCGUGGUCAUCCAGUUUCUUUCUUGCCUGGUCCAGCUGCCGCCACUCCUGAGUACCACCGACAUCCUGUGGCUGUCCUGCUUUUGCUACCCUCUGCUCAGCAUCUCUCUGCUGGGGAAGCCCCCCCAUAGCUCCAUUAUGUCUAUGGCAACGGGGAAAAACCUCCAGUCCAUUCCCAAGAAGACCCAGCACUACUUCCUGCUCUGCUUCCUGCUCAAGUUCAGCCUGACCAUCAGCUCCUGCCUCAUCUGCUUUGGCUUCACACUGCAGAGCUUCUGUGACAGCUCCCGGGACCGCAACCUCACCAACUGCUCCUCCGUCAUGCUGCCCAGCAAUGACGACAGGGCUCCAGCCUGGUUUGAGGACUUUGCCAACGGACUGCUGUCGGCUCAGAAGCUCACGGCCGCCCUGAUUGUCCUGCACACUGUCUUCAUUUCCAUCACCCAUGUGCAUCGCACCAAGCCCCUGUGGAGAAAGAGCCCCUUGACCAACCUCUGGUGGGCCGUGACAGUGCCUGUGGUGCUGCUGGGUCAGGUGGUCCAGACGGCCGUGGACCUGCAGCUGUGGACGCACAGAGACAGCCACGUCCACUUUGGCCUGGAGGACGUGCCCCUGCUGACAUGGCUCCUGGGCUGCCUGUCCCUGGUCCUUGUGGUGGUGACCAAUGAGAUCGUGAAGCUACAUGAGAUUCGGGUCCGAGUCCGCUACCAGAAGCGACAGAAGCUGCAGUUUGAAACUAAGCUGGGCAUGAACUCUCCCUUCUGAGCCACUGGCUGUGGUGGCUGUAGUUGCCCCCGUCCCUGGGGCUAAAGCCAGACCCAUUUCUGAACAGGGGAGUUGGUAUCAUGAAUGUUUCCAGGUUUGCUCCUGCACCCGUGGCACUGGAAACCCAGCUCCCCGUGUCAGACCCCGAUGUCUUCCUGAGCCCUGGGGCUCACUGUGGAGGAGCUGACGGCCUGGGCCCUUGGCCAGUCCUGGCUCUUCCCUGGGCCUCACCAGGGACACUCUUGAAUGUAUGGCCUCAGGCGCUCCCUAGAGGGGCCCUCAACCCCCCUCACCUGUGAGCUACCCCCUUUAGGGAUCCCUUGCCCCCUUGGGGAUCCCUUGCCCCCCAGUGCCUCUGCUCGUGGGUCCCUGGACACGGCCUUGAAGCAAACCUUCUUUGGAGAAGCAACAGCAGCAGCCUUGGCCGACGCGUCCAACUCCCAAGGCUGCCGUGGAGGGCAGGGUGGUGGUGCUUGCCUGGAUGUGGCCCCGAGUGCCUCCCCCACCUCCCUCCCUCUGUGGGGGAGUCUCCCGCCUGAACCUGAAGAUGGAGCAGGGCCCCUGCUUCACCCUGGAGCCUCUUCCUGUGCCUGGCUCAAGCUGGCUGCCUGUCAGUCUUGGGGAAUCUGGCCCAGGUCUCCUCAGCCUCUGCCCCAGUUCUGGGAGAAGUUUCUACUGGUGUAUAUUUUUUACUGGAAAUGAGCCUUUUAGGAAUGAAUGUAGACUGGUUUGUAUUAAAAUGUGUCAAUUGCUAAGAAAUA
rnacentral:sRNA from 1 species